rnacentral:rRNA from 1 species
AUUGAACGCUGGCGGCAUGCUUUACACAUGCAAGUCGAACGGUAACAGGCCGCAAGGUGCUGACGAGUGGCGAACGGGUGAGUAAUGCAUCGGAACGUGCCCAGUCGUGGGGGAUAACGCAGCGAAAGCUGCGCUAAUACCGCAUACGAUCUAUGGAUGAAAGCGGGGGACCGUAAGGCCUCGCGCGAUUGGAGCGGCCGAUGUCAGAUUAGGUAGUUGGUGGGGUAAAGGCUCACCAAGCCGACGAUCUGUAGCUGGUCUGAGAGGACGACCAGCCACACUGGGACUGAGACACGGCCCAGAUUCCUACGGGAGGCAGCAGUGGGGAAUUUUGGACAAUGGGCGCAAGCCUGAUCCAGCAAUGCCGCGUGCAGGAAGAAGGCCUUCGGGUUGUAAACUGCUUUUGUACGGAACGAAAAGGCUCUGGUUAAUACCUGGGGCUCAUGACGGUACCGUAAGAAUAAGCACCGGCUAACUACGUGCCAGCCGCCGCGGUAAGAC